rnacentral:lncRNA from 1 species
ACCUUCUCCUCUUUAGUGAGAUACCUAGAUCAGAUCUAGAGCUUUUGGGUGAGGGAAAACAAAAGUGAGAAGAGAGUCUUCUUCCUUCCUUCUAUCAUUAGAUCUUUCUUAUCUUUCUUUGGUUUUGGAGGAGUCUGAGGGAUCCAAAGAAAGUAGCAGAUCUGCCAUAUACAGUAGUUUCUAUGCAAGCUAAUACUCUGGAGAAAUAGAUCAGCAUAGGGCUUCGAGUAGAUCAACCGUAGAGGCCAGUCACCCUAUGCGGCUACAAGCAACCCUCAAGUCCAUGAGAGUCAGAUGCGA